AUGAGUUGCGAACGAGUGAGUAACGCGUAGGUAACCUGCCUGGUAGCGGGGGAUAACUAUUGGAAACGAUAGCUAAUACCGCAUAAUAGUAGAUGUUGCAUGACAUUUGCUUAAAAGGUGCAAUUGCAUCACUACCAGAUGGACCUGCGUUGUAUUAGCUAGUUGGUGAGGUAACGGCUCACCAAGGCGACGAUACAUAGCCGACCUGAGAGGGUGAUCGGCCACACUGGGACUGAGACACGGCCCAGACUCCUACGGGAGGCAGCAGUAGGGAAUCUUCGGCAAUGGACGGAAGUCUGACCGAGCAACGCCGCGUGAGUGAAGAAGGUUUUCGGAUCGUAAAGCUCUGUUGUAAGAGAAGAACGAGUGUGAGAGUGGAAAGUUCACACUGUGACG
rnacentral:rRNA from 1 species